rnacentral:tRNA from 1 species
GGCGAGAUACCCAAGCGGCCAAAGGGGACAGACUGUAAAUCUGUUGGCAUUGCCUUCGAAGGUUCGAAUCUUUCUCUCGCCACCA